UUCAGGGAGAGUGUCAAGUAGUUGGGUCCCACUGUCCUUUUUUGCUUUUUUACUUUAUUUUUUUCCUCUGCUUUUCUAUUCCUCUCGGCAUCUCCUCUUCUCUUUCUUUUUUUUUUUUUGACGCAGCUCUUCUCUUUCUUCGCUUCUUUCUCUCGCUUCUCUUCUUCACCACGCGCGCAUGGCGAUGGCAGGAUAAAACCGACGGACAGCAUCGAGGCACCGAGGCAGGGCAGGAGGCAGGAAGAGCCGUCAUCAGCCGAGCAAGGAAUCACAGGGCAGGUGGAGCGGCGUCGGGUGCUCCGAUGGCACAUGAAGCAGAGCGGAGAGGGGUGGCGGCGGUGGGGUGCAGAGGAGACCCAGGCAGGACGGCGAGGACGACGACGACGCGGCGGGCAACCUCCUCGCCCGGCCACCUCCGCCGUUGCUGCCCCCUCCUCCACCCACCUCCACCUGCCGACUAUGCUCCUCCUCCGGCGGGCGGCGGAGCGGAGCGGGGGUGGCGGCUGGCGAAGGGUAAGGAGCCCGCCACGUCAGCUCCGGCAACGGCGACGGCAUCGGCAUCGUGGUGAGGGGUAGGCGGCUUGGGAUCGGGGGCCUCGACGACGGGCGGCUCGGGAUUGGGAUCGACGGAGAGGGAUGGGGUGAAGAGGACCAUCGCUGCCGACCCAUGUGUCGCCGCCGCCGCCUUCGUCGUGGGACGCCAUCGCGGCGAGGUGAGGUCUCGAGGGUCCGCUCUGCUGGCUGCGCGCUCGCGGGCCUGCUUCGGACGCACGCCGCCGCUUCGCUCCGCCGGCCGCAUGCUCGCCCGCCGCGCGCCCGCAAAUGCUCUGUCGCCUCUUGUCCGCCUCCACCGCCGGCCGCUCUGCUCCCUCUCUCGGACCUCCUCUCCCUUCUCUCCCGCCAGCGCGGCCGGCCGCCUCUCCCCAUCUGCGCCGGCGGCGGAGCUCGGCCGGGCUCGCUCGCCGGCCACCUCGCCCCCAUCUGCCGCUCUCUGCUACCCGCUCCGCACCGCCUCCAUUCCACUUUGCCGGCCGCGCGCCCGCCGCCGCCGCCGCCGCCGCCACCCCACUCUACUCCGCCGGUCGCCGCCCGCUCACCGCCUACUCCGGCCGCUCGUCGCCACCCGUCACCGCUCACCUCUGUGGCAAAGAGAAGAAAGAAAAGAGGAGAGAGAGGAGAGAAAGAGAAAAACAAGAAAAUGUGGGCCCCACAUUUUUUUCCAUUCUCACUUACAUGUGGGCCCCAUAACUUUUUUAUUUUUUAUUUUGCUGACUAGGAUGCCACGUCAGCGAAACCACCCAUAUAAGCUGCCAUGGGACCUCCUUUGAACGGUUUGAGUAAGUUUAGGGGUGUACAUUUCUGGUUUUGUGGUUAAGGGACUAAAAAAAUCUCGCUUUUAAGUUUAGGGACCUCCGGUGAACUUAUUCCCCGUGAUUUCUACCGUGCCGGGCCGUCGUGCCUUGGGCCGGUCUGAUAAA